rnacentral:lncRNA from 1 species
CUUGGUGCCUCCAAAAUAUUUGCGAGCACCACUCUUCAUCGAGUUUUGAUCCUCUACAUGACCUAGCCAAUAAGGAGCGAAACCAACUGUGCAGACCUCCUCGCCACCAUAGUAUAUCUCAGUCCUAGAGCUAUCCAGGAGACUGCCACCACCUCCUUUAUGGCUGAAGAUCUCAUCCUACAUCCGGAUAUCUCUCCUGUAGAUCCUAUCAUCAGUAACUAUACCUAUCACUGAUCUAGCAGCUGCACCCUCUGCUGUCUCCGCAACUCCACC